GACUCAGCUGUGGCUUUUAGGGCUUGGUUCAUACCAUGGGGGAAAAAAAAGUCCUAGGAGAAAGCGACGUGGCUCAUUAGUGUUGCCUCUUCAGUGCUCAAGCCGCCUGGUGGAUUCCUAUGACACAGGGGGCCUGGAAAGAAAGGGAAAGUGGAUUUAAAAUAUAUAUAUACGUAACCCAAGCCCCAUAACCCCUAACUGGACAAAUGAGGUCUGUUUCUUUGGGCCUGAGGCUGUGCCAUAUAAAGUCUUAUUUUGGGACUUUACAAACUUGUCCUAACUAUCUUGUGGAUAGUGGGCUGUGACAAUCUGGAAUAGAGAACGUUCACACUUCGCUCCUUUAAAGAAGCGACCCCAGAUCUGCAAGGGAGUAGAUUCUGCUAUCUUGGCCUCACAGCCCUUCCUGUUGAUUACAAAGCCCGUGGAAGAAAACAGAACACACCCUCCUCAGUUCCGUCUAAAUGUGUUUCUUCUGCUUCAAUUACACCAGUUCUGGGGCAAAGACACUGAUGAAACAACACCCAUACCUGAAAAGAAUAAAUGUGUGACUUUCAAAUCCCCUUUCGCAGUGAAAGAAACAGCAAACACUUAAGAUUCAGCAUCUGUUCUCCAGUUGCACUGAGGAAUGCACUGUCUCGCAGCACCAGCUCUGCAGAGCCCUUGCCCCAGACUCUUUGCGGUUUUAUUUAUAUGUAUUUCCAUAUUUCAUUCCUGUGUGUCACUGCUGCAUUGGUGUGGCAGCAAGUGACCAAAUGCUACAGGUCUUACUAUGGACACCAGGUCAGGUGCAACCACACAAAACAAAGCCAGUUCCAUGAGCUGCCUAUGAUAUGCAUUGCGGAAGUAACAUUUUACCCAGGGUGUGCCAUUGCAGUGAUAUAAAUAUAUUUUUUUCUUAGACUAAAUAUGAGCUGACUAUCUCUUUUGAUGUGUGUACAUAGGUGUGAGUGUGUCUGUAUGCGUGCCUGUCUGUGUGCGGGUGUGUGUAUGUGCGUAGCCUCAUGCUUAGGACUACCCAUGAAUGUUGUGGAAUGCUACACCUGGAGAGUUCUGGUUUUCCACCAGUUUCAAGAUGAAGAACUACAUGAUACAGUGGACCUGGAGACCAUCCCCUUGGAAAGACAACCCAGAGAUGUUCAGCAUCCUGUAUCUACACGCAUCCUGUAUCUACACGUGUAUUUUGUAGCUGUCACACUAACCUUAAUAAGAAUUCUACAGCUUUGGACAGAGGCAUUUUCACCUUAAUGGUGAAGUAAUUUAAAAUAUAAAUCCAUUCAGGUGACAACCCAUCAUCAAAAUUACAAAUUUUCUGAUUGAACUCAUCUGAAUCAUCAGUUCCUUGAUGGAGAGAGAGAAGGAGAUGGAAUGUGUCUGGUAACCCCAAAUGGAGUACAAGUAGCCUUUGUUUUCCUGCAUAAAUGGACUUGUUGAAUGCGAACGAAUAUAUGCAAUUCAUAUACUUUUGGAGAUGAACGUAGAUAUGUGUGUCAGCUUUGAGAUGGUGUGUCCUGGAUUAAUACUUUGUCUCCCAAUAUCACAGAAAAAUACAUGCCAGUGACUCUUGAGGUUAAGGUAGUUGGGAUGAAAUGGCCUCAGGCAAUUUCACAUUCCCUAAUUACCUGGAAAGUUCUACAGUAAUUAAUAUGCAGCUAACUCCUGUUGCCCUCACAAGAGCAUCAGCCUUCUAGAAUCGGAGCUCCGGAGUGUGAAGAUUCAGUAUUGAUAUGAUAUGUAUACCAAACUCCAGCCAACUUACUGCCAUUUUUCAUAAUCUGAGUGGCUGCCUUGCUUAUCCUAAGCUGUGGUUGCAGAAACCGUGGCCAUUUAUAUAAGCUAUAACAUCAAAUCAGGGAAAAAUGAGGAAAAAAAAUAGAUUCUGAACCAUUUAUUGUUGAAUAAGUAGAGAAAAUCAUCAAUAAAUAUUUAUUACAUUCUGACAGGGUGUGUGGCAUUGUGUUCUAUGCCAGAGUGACAAAGUUGAUUCACCCCUUUUUGGGGACCUUAAUAUAUUUUUUAAGGGAUGUGCCUAUGCAUUGAUGCCUGAAAAAUAUGUAUAAAGAAAUGAGGUUGACUCUUCUGAGCAGUUCAUCUUUUCCAGAGGUAAGGGUAGGAGGCCAACUUCAGGGUCUGGGUCUGAGCCCGUGGGCAAGCCCUGGCCGAGUGAGCUCCAAUGCUAACUCAUGUGCCGAUCUCUAGAGCAGUGGGAAACUACCCCGCUGCACCAAAUCAAGUAGCUUCACCUUGUGUAUGCAGGCCCCAAGUUAUUUUUUAGCAAUCUUACGAGUGAAAUGUUCUGGUGGGUUGAAAAACGUUCUUAUUUUAAAGAAAGGUUGUGCUCGCUACACUGCUGGUGUGUGCAUUCUGAGACCUCUUGUAUUCAAUCUGUGAAGGAUAUGUGUAUUAAUCCGUACACCCGUAUAGCCUCAAUAUUUGUCUGAAGACACUUAAAUUCUGACCCAUAAAGGAAAGUUCUAGAAGCAAUAUUUUCACUUAUUUAACAUUCUCCAAACAACAUCAAGCAUUGAUACACACUGAAGAGUGCGUUUAUUUUUUGUAUCACUCUAAGUAUGUUGGAAUAUGCAAGGACUGUGGUUCAAAUUAGAAUGUAUAAGGCAUAUUAUAAUUUAGUUCAUACUGAAUAAGAAAUUAACAGAACAUUGUUCGGUUCACACGUUCCAAACUUUGAGUGAUUUCUGGAGUUAGACAUAGAUUUUCUAUUUUGUUUUAAUUUGUCAAGGUAUUUUUCUUCCCUUCAUGAACUUUAGGUACACAUAACUUAUGUCAUUUAUUUAUGGUCUUUUAUACCUAGUUUGUAAAAUUGUAAAAUAGCAAACUAAAUGCAAAGAGUUUGCAUUUGAAAAUAAUAAAGUAGUUGCCGUAUACAACCCUGCAA
rnacentral:lncRNA from 1 species